UGCCUGAUUGCGCCGAGCUCCAUCCAUCGGGCAAGGAACCACACGAACCACUGGAUGGAGGCGGGGGACCCAACCGGUCCGCCGAACAAGCAGACCAGGAACUCACCAGAGUUCCUUGGGGUGAAGCCUUCCCACCGAAGGCCGGGCAACCUCUCCUGCCCGAACCCGACAGCUGACCUCGUGGGCGCUGACGAGAGGACCU
rnacentral:sRNA from 2 species